rnacentral:rRNA from 1 species
CGGGUGAGUAACGCGUAGGUAACUUGCCUAUCAGUCUGGGAUAACACUGCUAACGCGGUGCUAAUACCGGGUAUACUGCAUAGAUCGCAUGUUUUUUGCAGGAAAGCGGGCCUCUGGAACAAGCUCGUGCUGAUAGAUAGACCUGCGUUCCAUUAGUUAGUUGGUAGGGUAACGGCCUACCAAGGCAGCGAUGGGUAGCCGGCCUGAGAGGGUGACCGGCCACACUGGGACUGAGAUACGGCCCAGACUCCUACGGGAGGCAGCAGUGAGGAAUAUUGCGCAAUGGACGAAAGUCUGACGCAGCAACGCCGCGUGAGGGAUGAAGCUUUUCGGAGUGUAAACCUCUGUUAGGAGGGAAGAACGUCUAUUAUUCGAACAGGGUGAUAGAGUGACGGUACCUCCAGAGAAAGCCCCGGCUAACUCCGUGCCAGCAGCCGCGGUAAUACGGGGGGGGCGAACGUUGUCCGGAAUUAUUGGGCGUAAAGGGCGCGUAGGCGGGAAGGUCAGUCAGAGGUGAAAGCUUGUGGCUUAACUGCAAGUUUGCCUUUGAUACUGCCAUUCUUGAGUUCGGAAGAGGGAAGUGGAAUUCCUGGUGUAGCGGUGAAAUGCGUAGAUAUCAGGAAGAACACCGGUGGCGAAGGCGGCUUCCUGGUCCGAUACUGACGCUGAUGCGCGAAAGCGUGGGGAGCAAACAGGAUUAGAUACCCUGGUAGUCCACGCUGUAAGCGAUGGGUACUAGGUGUUGGGUUUAAUUACUCAGCGCCGGAGCUAACGCAUUAAGUACCCCGCCUGGGGAGUACGAUCGCAAGAUUGAAACUCAAAGGAAUUGACGGGGGCCCGCACAAGCGGUGGAGCAUGUGGUUUAAUUCGAUGCAACGCGAAGAACCUUACCUGGGCUUGAACUGUAGGUGACGUAUCCUGAAAGGGAUAUUCUCUUCGGAGCACCUAUAGAGGUGCUGCAUGGCUGUCGUCAGCUCGUGCCGUGAGGUGUUGGGUUAAGUCCCGCAGCGAGCGCAACCCCUGUUCGUAGUUGCCAGCAUUUUAGGUGGGAACUCUAGGGAGACUGCCCCGGUCAACGGGGAGGAAGGUGGGGAUGAUGUCAAGUCAUCAU